CUCAUAAUGUCAAUCUAAAUUCUAUACCUCUGCUUCUAGACUCUCUCGCUCUCGCUCUCGCUCUCUUCUCUGCGCCGCGCAAGAUGGUUCUUCAGUUGCACCUUGAAGUCCACCUUGAGUUGAUGGGUUGAAGGAUUUCCAUUGUUAGGGUUCUUGCUUUCUUGGGAUGAAAAAUAUUUGACCCAAUAUAGAGCAGUAUUUGUUGUUAACUGCAAGAUUAAGGAUGACAAAGUUGUGAAGCAAAAUAUACCAAAAUCAAGAAAAAGAAAUAGAAGGACUGAAGGCAAUGAUGCACAUUCGACUAACACUGAAACAUUCAAGCAAGUCUGCUGCUAUGUUUACUUGACAGAGAGGUGUCUAUCAUAGAAAUGGGAACUUCUUUUUUCGUACAACCAUUCAUGUAGCAACAACAUUGGAGCAGAAACAACUUGAUUCAGCCAAAGCCAAGCUAAAAAGUCUGAAUUCCUCUUCAUAGUUAUAUCAUAUAUGCUAGAACUGAACUCUGGUGGUUUGGGAGUAAUGCAGCAUUUUCCAGUGCGUUAAGGGCAAUGAAUCAAGG